rnacentral:rRNA from 1 species
UACGUAGGGGGCAAGCGUUAUCCGGAAUCACUGGGCGUAAAGGGUGCGUAGGUGGCUGAUCAAGCCAGAGGUGAAAGGCAUUGGCUCAACCAAUGUAAGCCUUUGGAACUGAUCGGCUUGAGUGCAGGAGAGGUAAGUGGAAUUCCUAGUGUAGAGGUGAAAUUCGUAGAUAUUAGGAGGGACACCAGUGGCGAAGGCGACUUACUGGACUGUAACUGACACUGAGGCACGAAAGCGUGGGUAGCGAACAGG